CGUGUAGGCGGCCUGAUGUGUCAGAUGUGAAAGCCCUGGGCUCAACCCAGGAAGUGCAUUUGAAACUGUCAGGCUUGAGUAGGGGAGAGGGAAGUGGAAUUCCUGGUGUAGAGGUGAAAUUCGUAGAUAUCAGGAGGAACACCGGUGGCGAAGGCGACUUCCUGGCCCUAUACUGACGCUGAGACGCGAGAGCGUGGGUAGCAAACA
rnacentral:rRNA from 1 species